UUCAACUUUUUUCACUUCCCUUACAAACCCUAAUUUUUAUCUCAUCGUUCUUCUGCCGUUCAUUCCUAUUCGCAAGGAAUCAAGACUUCAAAAUCACCAAGAUUUCAUCUUCUUCAAUACGCUUCUGCAUCUCUAUCUCAAAUCGAUGACAAGAUUUCAUCUUCUUCCCUAAGAUUCAUCGGUUUUCAUCUCUCAAUUUAGGGUUUCGGCUAUAUAUUUCUUAUAAUCCGAAGAACACACAACCUUCAUUCGCAUCUAGGGUUUCUGUUUCUUCCAUCAUACAUCUCCUUCUCAUCAUCCCUAAAUCUCAUUCCUGAAAGAUCAUCAAUACCAAGAUCAUAGGUACGAAUCGCUCCUCACCUCUAAAGUCAGCAUCUGCUUGGUUUUGCGAUAAAGAAACCGCUCAUUUGCUCAAGAACCAAUCUUUGGAUUCUCAAUGAAGACAUUAGUAAUCAUGAGUCCGCUAAGAAGAUGAGGCAUAAAGGUAGUCUUCGGUUGAUAUCACUGGCACCGGUAAUGGUCAGAACCCGCCUUGGGAUGGUUUAGUUAACCGUUUGGUACCAGAUUUCAUGGAUCUAACAGUGGCUUAUUUUCCCAACGGCAAUUAUUAUAUAGGUUAUUAUGGUACCACCAAUGAUUGGGAUAACUACUUGAGAUAUGUAAAUCCUGAUGGAGUUCAUAUGUCUCAUGUAAGAUUUUGUUUCACUCUUUUGAUGUUCCAACUAGCUGAUAGUUUUUUUUAUUUUUUUUUAUGAUAAGUUGAUAACAAUUGGUUCUGAUCUAUACAUGGAGUAUAUGGGGAUAUGGAUCAUGGUUAUGGUUAUGCACCAUACGGUCCUUAUUCACAUGUUGGCUCACUUUUGCGACAGUAGGAGGGAUUUUUUUUCCAGUAUACGUGAGGCUGCUUCGAGAUAAUGAAUACAAAGUGCGUAUUGCAGCUAUACUGAUCAUGUGAUGAAUCAGAAGUUAAUCGAAGCAUAAUAUGGUUCAUAUCUGAAAAACAGGGUGGUCGAAGAAGACGACGGUCAAAAGGGUUCAUCCGGAUUUGAUUUUGUUCACUUCUAAGGUGGAACGGGCAAAGUUUGUGUUUGAAUCAAAGACUAUAAUGAAAAUGGAGCUUUUGGUGUUGUCUUCGCUUGAAUGGAAAAUGAAUCAUGUGACUCGGCUACUACCUGCAGUUGGAUCCAUUGGUCCUCAAAGUUUUGGAACAAACUAUUCAAUGUAAGUAUGUUUCUUUUUUCUUGGUUUGGUGAUUGCUAUGUAUAUAUCGUUUUAUAGUUAUAGAACGGCUUCAUUUGUGGUUAUCAUGUAGAAACACCCUGGAUGGAUCAGUAUUUGGUUCAAUUUUCUCUAAGUAAUAUUCUUUUAGUUCGUUUAUUUGUGUCUCUACACCUCACUUAAGGGAUCGGAAAACUGGCUACCGUAUUUGGUUGUCACACGGUACGAGGAACAAGAUUUCAUUAUUAGGAAAAAUGUAAUCAUUUUUACAGUGAUGGAUGAAUGUUAUUAUGUUUAUUCUCAUGUAUGUUCUACCUUUAUUUGAAGCAAACAAUCAUCACGUGUAAAAGAUGCCAUCAAAAUUGAAGGUUUGUUGGUAAAAAAAAAAAACAGAUACUGGGUUUAU